GCGGGCGUACCGACGGACGCUCCAGGCGCCAGCCGCUGGGUGCUUCGCUUUGCGGUUGGGGAGGCGCAGGGAUGCGGGGCCAGUAGUGACCGUAAACACUGGCCCCGGCCGUAUCCAGCCCCACUCAGUAGCCCGCAUGGCUGCCUAGCGGUCAGCACCGCGUGUCUGCGAGCCUAAUUCGCGCUUACAGGGCACACAAUGGGGUGCAGGCUGAGGCGGAGAGGCGGCCAGGCCUCGCCGCGGCCUCCAUCUUGGGAGUGUGACAACUUUUCAUGUUGGGUGCACAAGGUGGCCGGGGAGGAAGCGCCUUGGACAGCGCGCGCCGGGCCGGGCGGGGACGCCGUCCGCCUGGGUUGUAGGCCGUUCCCCCGGAGCUGAGCCGGGACCCGUCCUCACGGCAUCCUGGGCGGGGGGAUAUUGCAGUUAUGUGGAUGAAAAUACAGUUGGCAACAUAAAAAUGCCAAUUUUACAUUAGAUGUCUCAAUAACU